rnacentral:ncRNA from 1 species
CUAACCAGCAGCCAAACCAUUUGUGAGGAUGGGACGGAAAGCCAAGGAUCUCUGGGGAAAAGAGACAGCCUGGUUGCCUAG